rnacentral:rRNA from 1 species
CAGUGCCGCGGUAAUACAGAGGGUGCGAGCGUUAAUCGGAUUUACUGGGCGUAAAGCGUGCGUAGGCGGCUUUUUAAGUCGGAUGUGAAAUCCCUGAGCUUAACUUAGGAAUUGCAUUCGAUACUGGGAAGCUAGAGUAUGGGAGAGGAUGGUAGAAUUCCAGGUGUAGCGGUGAAAUGCGUAGAGAUCUGGAGGAAUACCGAUGGCGAAGGCAGCCAUCUGCCUAAUACUGACGCUGAGGUACGAAAGCAUGGGGAGCAAACAGGAUUAGAUACCCGAGUAGUCCCUGUCUCUUAUACAC